AUUAUGAUUCUUAACAAAUUAUUUGUUGUGUUGGUUUGGCUCGUGAUAAACUUUUCAGGAAAAGGACGAUGUGAAAUGUCUAUAGAAGAUCUGCACCGGGAUGUACUGGAACUUCGUAAGCUGAUUGUCGAGAUGACCACAACGAUCGCUACUCAGAACAGUCGCAUCGCCUAUCUCCAACGCACCCUCAAUCGUCAACGAUCUUAUUGUCAUCGGGAGAAACUACAAAAAGAAGUCCAGGACACCAAAGGUUACAUAAAUUAUAGCGUUGCAAAGAAUAACCCGAAUACAAUGGUAAUGACGAAUAAUGGGUCGGGUGUCGUAUCCAGCAAUCGGGGAGACUUCCGAUCAUCCGGACGUCGACCGUCAGUCGAAACCCCACAACUUCCGUUUCAGUCAUCUCUUGUUCGCAAAGGUACGUGUAAAACAAGUUUGGUUGACGUUUUAUAUACCAUGAAAAACAAUUCGUCAAUCGGAACAUCGCUCGGCCUAAAUUUUCUGUCAAGUCGAGAAAAUGUUUUUUUCUUGACUUGCAUUGACGGAAAAGGCCGACCAAUGUUCCGAUUGACAAUUCGUCUCAUUCCACCGUUCACUCUACAGGGCGGUUGUUGAUACCCCAGCCCACUCAGCCACCACACCCCUCACACAACGCCACAGCUUUCUACGCUUAUCUGUCCUCUGACGUUGCCCACCCUGGACAGGGACAGAUUCUGAAAUUCGACGCCGUGAAAACAAACGCAGGAAAUGGGUACCACCCAAACUCAGGGAUUUUCAUCGCCCCAGAAACCGGUUAUUACGUCUUCAGUUGGACGUCGAGGAUCAAACAUUACGGUAGCACGGGCGAAGACCAUGCUUUGGAGCUUAUCAUAAACGGUCAGAUUUUUGGAAGUAUUUACAUGAAGUCUCUGACAGGCGAAGAUGGACAGGCGACUGGUUUAGCCACCGCGCAUGUCAACAAAGGUGAUGACGUUUACAUUCAAACACACCACCAGGACCCGGGGUCUGGAGCUAUACGGAGUGACUUUUAUGGAAGAUCUUCCUUCACAGGAUGGAAACUGUACUGAAAACCAUAAAUGCUUUAAAAAGACAU
rnacentral:misc_RNA from 1 species